CCCCCACCGCCGGCGGGCGCCGCGCUGGGUCUCGCGGGAGCGGCGGGCCGGUAUUUAAGGCCCCGGGAGGCGCCACGUUCUCCUUUUCCCUGCCGGCCGCUCCCGCGGUAAGCCUGCGGCAGCUGCUUCCCCCGCGGAGCCCCGGGCUCUGAACGGGCGUGGCGUAGGGUAGGGGGAUGGGACGGAACGGGACCGGACCUCUUUACGUCUUCCCUUCACAUCUUGCCCUCUCGGAGCCCGGCGGUGCUCCGGGGAGUCAACACAGGGGGAUAGAGUACCUUUGCCUCACAGAAACCCAGUGCGGAGCCGUCCCCUCCGCCCUGCAUCCUGUCGUGAGGCACAAGCGGUCCCUCUCUCUUCUCCCGCCCCGCCCCGCUCGCUGCUCCGCGCUGACUUCUCUCUCCCUCUGCAGUGUGUGGCGCGGGCCGCACGCGUCCCUGUGGCGGCCGCCCGGCAGGGAGGAAGGCGGCAGAAAGCGUCCCAAGGUACCGGCAAGGCCUUCAAAUGGCCCCGAAGGGGUUUGUCCGCCGGCCUGCCGCGCUUGGCUUCUGCCGAAGCCGCAGGAGGCAAAGCACUGUAGGCCAUGCCAGUGGGAAGCUCUGGCGAGCUGGAGUCGUGCCUUCACACCCAUAGGUUUCUCAAGUGUGCUGGUGCUUUAUGAACCCAUGUGAUAAACAUCUUGAGUGAGAAGUGUCCCUUGUAAAUUUGUUCAUUUCCAGGAAGGAAACCAGCAUAUAUGAGCAAUUUGAACUGAUAUUAAACAUCAGAUCAUGAUUUCAUGAGUGGCUGAUUUCUGAAUUCAUACUAGAUGACUCCAGUUGUCACCUGUAAUGUAUUGUCUUGGAAGUGGAAUUGAGACAAGCAAUGGCUAAAACUACACAUCUUCCACGAUCAUGUUUAAACAGGAACCUCGCCAUUUGUUGAAAUGGGUUUCUUAAUAGAAAUUGCUGUAACAUUUCUAUGUGCAUGGAUUGAAAUAAAAUAUGAGAAUGGUACCA
rnacentral:lncRNA from 1 species